UCAGAUAUUUCUUUAUGGCAAUGUAAGAACAAAAUAAUAUGAAAAAUGGAUACCAAGAGUGGGGUAUUGUAAAGUUAGCUGAAAAUAUGAGAGCAGCUUUGGAACUGGAUAAUGAGCAGAGGAUGGAAGAGUUUAGAGGGCCCAGAAGAAGAUAGGAAGAUGAGGGAAAGUUUGGAACUUCUUAGAGGCUGGUUCAAUAGUUGUGACCAAAGUGCUGAUAGUGAUAUUAACAGUGAAGUCCAGGCUGCUGAGGUCUUGGAUGGAAAUGAGGAGCUUUUUGGAAACUGAAGCAAAGGUCACACGUGUUAUGCCUUAGCAAAUAACUUGUUUGCAUUCUGUUGAUGCCUUAGGGAUCUGUGGAAGUUUGAACUUCAAAGUGAUGAUUUAGGAUAUCUGACAGAAGAAAUUACUAAGCAGCAAAGCAUUCAAGAGGUGGCCAGCAGCUUCUUACAACCUAUGCUCAGGUAUUUCAAGAGAAAGAUUGGUGAAAAGGCAAGAGACAUGGAAAAGCCCUUCUUAGAGGUACAGGUGUAGAAGGACAUGUUUCCUUCCUCUUCCGCCAUGGCUGUGAGUUUUCAGAGGCCUCCAUAGCCUUGUGAAACUUGUCCUUUGCUUCAAAUAAUGAAUGCUGUGAACAGGCAGUGAAUUAGAUGCUUUUAAGAAGAAACACAUAGUGCACAAGAGCACAAUCAAAGCUGUGAUAGUAACAUGGAACUUCUAGAAAGGAGUGUGAGAGAAGAGUGCUCAGAUUUAAAAGAAGUGCUUAGCUGAUGUGUCUGUAUAUGGCAAGUGAAGAACUUACCAAAGGGGUAUAAAAGCAAAAUGCUACUAACCUUAAUGGAUUUGAAUAAUUCAGUUAUUAAGGCAUUCCCCACACAGUAAAGAAUGCAGUACCUAUAUUUAAUGACAUCAUCAUUUAUUUGCGAUCAUUUAUUGAGAGAUCAGUUGGGUGUUAAGUUUAGCAAUACACAUAGUGUGAGAGGUCAUGAAAUGCAAAGUUCAAGGAAAGCAAAUUACAUACAGAUUACUAAACAUUUCUAUUCGCAUUUAGAGAUGAUGCCAUCAGUUAUAUCUAUGGAAAACAAAUGCUUACAUACUGAAGUGUAAUAAAUGAGGGAGAAAUGUGAAGAAGUAUCAGCAUUCAUACCCAAGCCAUUAAUUAUACUAUACUACAGGAAAUCACAUGAAAUGAAGUAAAGAUAAGAAUACAUGACAUUAGUAACUUUUUCAAUUCCUUGGGAAGUUAGUACCAUUCACUACAGCCUAUAAGUGGAAAUCACACCUGAUUUUAGAAACUAUAUUGCUAAUUUUUUCCAGCAUGAGAACGUGGGACAUAAGCAUGCAUUUCUUUUCUCAGUAUUUAGAAAUGCCACACAAUUCCAACUUUACAAUGACACAUAUCUUUAAAGAGAAAAGUAGAAAUUUGGUAGUUUCAUGGUAAACUACUGCUGUCUAUUUUAUGCUCCUACUGUGCGUAUUUCAUCUCCAUCUAGUACAGAGCAAAAUUUUCAGUUAUUUGGCCACCAAAUCACACUGUGGCUCUAGGUACACUGUGAAAUAAUAGACUCAGUAUUUCCAGCAGCAGAGACCUGAAUGAAAGUCAUAAACAGAACCAUGCCCUUUAGAUUGAAAUCAUCAGUCUUGUGAAUGUAUAGGUUGCUAUCUGUAACUGACUAGCUUUUAAUAAUAUUUAACUGUCAUGAAAAGCUAAUACAGUUUAUGUUAACAAUGUUAUAUGAAUAACUGUUUCAGCUAAUGAUCCAUUCAUUUUUCCCAUUAGUGCAAGUUUGUGUGGAUGGUCUGAUUUUAUUUAAUCUUCUUUAAUGGAACUCAGCUUAUGGUUGCAACAAACCUUUUAAAAACAAGUGUCUGAUUAUUUAUCUCCUGAGUUUUGGCAGUGUUACCGAUCACGUAUAAACCAUUUUAACUCUAAUAUCCUUUACCAAUGAAAGAAAAUGAUAGCAUCUAUCAAUUAUAAAUUGUGCAUUGUAUUUCUACAAUGGCAUGUUUAAAAACACACAUAUAUUGGUAUAUUUGUUCAUAAUUCAUAGAUUAUACUCCUAACUUUGCACAUACUGAACAUGUACUGUUUAUUUCACAACUAAGUUUUUUAGCUGAAAGUCUAUUUUUAGCUGCUGAGAGAUAGAAUGCCAUAUGUUGCUUUCUGCAGUAUAACAAAGUGAUACACCUUUGUAAUGAAGUCUGGACUUCUUCCAAAAAGGAAAGUGAUAUAAUCCUUCUGGUGAACUGUGAAAUUCUACAUUUGCACAGUGUCUUACCCAGCAGGAAAUGAGCAUUCCUCAUGGACAGAUUUCGUUAGAGGUCUGAGGGAAAAGGAUAUGUUGGGAGAUUCAAUGCCAACUUUAGCAGCAGGUUAAUUGCUAGCUCUAAAAUAUUUCUGCAGUAUUUUUUUGUUUUGUUUUGUUUUCUUUUCUUUUUUUGACUGGGGAAAAAAUUUUCUAGCCACACACCCCAAAGCGAUUCAUACUUUACAUUCCGUUGUUCUCAGUAUUGACAUGCUUUUGUCGGCUUCUGUAAAGAUUCCUUGAAGAUUUAGUGGUGGCGUUGGCAGCAUCUGUUUAAUUCUACAAAUCAGUAGUGCAAGCGACUUACUUGUGGUCACCAUGGUUUUCAUCACUUAAUCUGUAAUGAUGGGAAAAUUUGUGAACAUAACGAAAAUUAGCUCUUUUAAAAAAGACAUAAGUAAUAUAUCUUAUACCUUUACAUUUGGAAGACUGUUUUUGUGGGAUAGUAAUUUUUAAAAUAUUUUCUGUAAAAAAAUGGGAAUAGGGUUGUGAAUUAUAUCACCGCGCUUAUCUAGAUAUUGCAUAUGUAGUAGAAAUAAUAAGGUGUUGGUUUUGUAUUUAAAUGAACCAAUAACUAAUGAUGUAAAAACAAAAAGAAGCCACACACCUUCCAUAGUGCAGGAGGCAGACUAUUGAUGGUGUCACAGUACACCUUGCAAAGAUGAUGUUCCAGGGAAUUUUUACCAGUAUCCCUGGACACCGGUGUUUUCAGAAAAAUGAUGAUAACUCUCCUUGGAUAUGUUUUCUUUCAAACCUUGAUCACAGUGUUGAGCAGCAACUAAUAAAUGUGGGUCUAAAGCUUCUCAUGGUUUUUUAAGGACUAUAGUCUAUGGUGAUGAAAGAUUACUAAUCCCUCUGUGAAUUAUAUAUGUUGAGUAGUGAAUAUAUUUCUUUAUUAUUUUCCCUUCUGUUUUUUUUUUAUACCAUUCACUUUUAUAUCAUGUUAUAUUUGUGUAGAACUUCAUUGCUGACAAGGCUGUUAACAAAUACUAUUUUAUUUUACCCUUUAAAAACCCUCAGGUAACACUAUGAUUCCAUAUUUAUUAAAGAAAUUAUGUUUUCCAGUUUUAUACAACUUUCCUAAAUCUACGUAAUUUAUCAUAUUAGAAAGAGCUACUGUUUCUUCCAUGCUCACUUUUGUUUUCAUAUAUUAUUAAACUCUUAUAACAUUAUAAGGCUAUUAUUUUUAGCAGAAGGAGCAUAUGAAUUACAGAGAGGUUAAAGAACUUGAAAUAGUCUCUUAACUGAGCUGUCUUUCGUUAAUUCUUCUUUCCUCCAGUCUUGCUCAAUAAAGAGUUGUUGAGUCACUUUUCUAUAAUGCCACUAGAAUGGCAUAAUAUACUUUCAGUGAACAUUUACUGCUUGUUGAUGCUGCCUGAAUAUAGUACAAAUUUCCUACCCUGGUGUUUAAGACCCGAGAUAAAGUUAUCCUAAAUUACAAUUAAAAGCUUAUGCCAGAUUUUCCAAUACUCCAAUAUAUCUAAUUUGAACUCUCCACCAUAUAUCUUCAAAUUUUCCAACAUGAAUUUUUACUUAUGCCAGUAACUUUAUCUAAAAAAAUCUUUCUCAAAUCUGCCUGUCAGCAUUUGAACUUAUUUCUAAUAUAUGGUUCAUGAAAGAGUUUUUAAUCCAUCAAGCAAUAUGAUAAUUUCCUUGAAUGAAUUCCCAUAGUUAUUUGUACUUUCUCAACCAUGCUUUGCAGCUUUCACCUCAUCUUUUAAUUGUUUUCUUUUUUUGACAUAUAAAAUGCUAUACAUGAUUAAUGCAUACAACUUGAUGAUUUAGAGAUAAGUAUCCAACCACGAAACCAUCAUCAUCACAAUCUAUGCCAUAAACCUAUCCAUCACCUCCAAAAGUUUCUUCCCAUUCUCUUAUUAUCAUUUUGCAAUAAAAACACUUAAUAUAAGAUCUACCGACUUAGCAAAACUUUAAGUAUACACUAUUAUAUUGUUAACUAUAGUUAGUGUAUGUGUAUGUAUAUAUUAUAUAUGUAUACACUGUAUCUAUGUAGUAUAGUAGACCUGUAGAACUUAUUUAUCCUGUUUAACUGAAACUUUUUACCCUUGACUAAAAUCUCUUUAUUUUUUCUCCCCCAAGCCUCUGGAAACCACCAUUCCAGUUUUAGUUUUUGUCAUCGAGAAAUUUCAAAUACCCAAAGCCUUAUAGUAUCUUGUUAGGAAAUGCAGGCAUUUUUACAUUCUGGUCCAUCAUGUUAGUAUUUAUAUAUUAUCUAGUAUGUGGAUCGAACAUAUAUGGUCACAUCAAGUAUAAUACUAUAUCAACAAUUGACAAAUUUAUAUUUUUAUUAAAGUCAGAUAAUACUGUAUUUUUGUGAAAGUAUAGUUUCUAAUUUAAUGUCAUCCUCCUCCACAGUAAAAAUUUAACAAGAACACAAAUACAAUAGAACUGAAGUGGAAUUAUCACUUUGCUUUUUGUUUAAAAGAAUGUAACAUCCUCCCAUGUUGAUCUUACAUCUACUUUGUUUUGUCGUUUUUGUAUUUUGCCAGUUUGAAUUUAUCCUUAUAAAAUCUGACCCCAGUGAUUUUUUUAAAACCAGUAAAAUAGCUUAGAACAGAGGGUAAAGUGGAAAGCAGUUUUACUUGAUAACUACCCUCCCCACAACAUAUACACACACACACACUCCAAGACUAACAUAGUGAACUGGUUCAAAUUUGUACAUCAUUGUCUUGUUCAGGGUCAGGUUCCAGCCCCAGCUGAGGGCGGAGGAGACUGGGUAAACGGGGGGCAGGGAGCUGGAAGAACAUUCAAGAAACAGCAGAUAUCAAUAUGUGAUGAUAAUGCCUAAGUCUUCAUCCUACUAGGGAAAAGGAGGCUUCUGAAAUGGCACUUGAUCAAAUUAAAGGUAUUCACUUGAAUUUAAUUCUUAGGACUCAAUAUUCAUAUAUUAUAACUAUUAUAAUGAAAGCAGAUAACAUUUGCUGAAACAACAUAGUAAUUAGAGCUGAUAGAACAAAUUUAAACUGACCCAUAUGACAGAGAUGCUGCUUCUCCUUGUAGUUUGCUUUAAUAAACCUCUCUGUUGACAGUGCAUUGAAAAGCUCAACUCAGCCAUGUAGUACUGUCCGCAGUGAGGAGGGGCUUUUCUCUCUAGCACUGCUAACAGCCCCAGAAGACAACCAGAGCAGUUACCUGGAGUGAAAAUCAGAUUGUAAAAUAAAAUGAAGUGCACUUGUCAUUAAUACUUAUUAAAUGAAAAGAUUUACAACAAAAGAUAGAGUUGUUCCUCAGUAUCCCUGGGAGAUUGGUUCUUGGACAUCUCUAGAUCAGUGUAAGGCGGGGAUUUUUCCACAGUCCUUACAGAAAAACCAAGUAGUAUGGUUAAUAUGUCCUUAAUAAUAUUCCUAUAAUAACUACAACAAAAAGAACUUUUCUAACAUGGUCUUUCAUGGUAGGCUUUAACAUCAUGGUAAUGCCAAAGAGCAUUUUUAGCAAAAAUUUAUUUUUUAAAGGAGACACAAUACAUUGGGUUCCUAAGCAAAUAGUUUUGGCUUAACAUAAAAUAAAAUUUAGAACAGAUAAGAAAAUUUAUAUUUAUUUCUGUAGGAUAUCCUUCAUAAAUAGUUUUUUUUUCAUAAUUGGAUAUUGAUAAAGGUUGGGGGAAAAUGUUGGUUCAUUCUGCAUAAUUUUCAAGUACUGAUAUUAUUUGUUGCUGCUUAAAUACAGUUACACAUGCUUUGACAAUAAUCUUGACAAAGGUUAUAGACACGUUAGGAAAAUUAUGGAACUUAAUCAGCACAUGUAUCUGAAUAGAAGGACAAGGAAUGAUUUUAGUGCCACUCUAAAAUCUUUUGCGUAAAAUUCAUCUGGUUCUAUUUGAAUACAUGAAAAAGUGGACAAUCUGUUCCAGAACAUUUUGCCAGUGAUUUCAGAUAUAACUCUUCUAUCUGGAAAUGAUUUUGUCCCAUUUGGCUCCACUAAUUGCCCAUCAUGAUUAUAGAAAUGUUUUCUUGGUUCUAUUUUUAAUAAAUGCAGAGGGACUUUAUGAAAGCACAUAACAAAAUGUUUAUUCUAGAUUAAUGAACACUUUAUUCAGCUUUAUUGAGGUAUAACUGGCAAAUUGUUUGUAUUUAAGGAGUACAAUGUGAUGUUUAGCAUAUGUAUACAUUGUGAAUGAUUUCCACUAUCAAGCUAAUUAACAUAUUCAUUAUCACAUAGUUACCUUUUAUGUAGUGAAAACAUUGAAGAUCUACUCACUUAACGUAUUUCAAUUAUAUAAUACAGUAUUAUUAACUGUAAUUACCAUGCUGUACAUUAGAUAUGUAGAAAAUACUGAUCCUGCAUAACUGAAACCUUAUACACUUUGACCAACAUCUCUCUGUUUCCUUUCUUUCAAAACCUUGGCAAUCACCAUUCUACUCUCUGCUUCUAGGAGACUGACUUUUAGAUUCCACUUAUAAGUGAGCUCAUGGUGUAUUUGUCUUUCUGUGCCUGGCGUAUUUCACUUAGAAUAAGUGAUCAUGUCAGAUAUAGAUGUUUAUUGCUUUAACUUUCUUCUUAGAACUGCUUUUUCUGUAUUUCAAAAGCUUUGGUAUGUUGUGUUUCUAUUUUCUUUUGUCUCAAGAUAUUUUUUUAAAUUUCCCUUUUGAUUUCUUCUUUAACGCAUCAGUUAUUCAGAUGUAUGUUGUUUAAUUUUCAUGUAUUGAUAACUUUGCCAAUUUUCCUCCUGCCAUAGAUUUCUAAUUUCAUCAAAUUGUGGUUAGAAAAGAUACUUGAUAUGAUUUUAAUCCUCUUAAAUUUAUUUUGUGGUCUGACUAUUCUGGAGAACAUUCCAUGUGUACUUGAAUGUGUAUUUGUUGCUUUUGGGGGAAGCAUUUGGUAUAUGACUGUUAGCUCCAUUUGGUCUAUAGCAUUGCUUGAGUUCACUGUUUUCUUGCUGAAUUUCUGUCUGGAUGAUUUCUUUAUUGUUACUCAUGGGGUACUGAAAGUUUCAUAUUAUUAUUUUAUUACUGUCUAUUUCUCCCUUCAGUUCUGUUAAUACUUGCCUUACAUAUAUUGGUGCUCCAACAGUGGGUGUACACAUAUUUACAACUGUUACAUCCUCUUGAUGAAAUGACCCCCUUAUGAUUACGUAAUGACCUUCUUUGUCUCAUGAGAGUUUUGACUUAAAGUUUACUUUGGCUUAUAUAAGUAUAGACCCUGCCUGAUCUCUUUUGGUUACCAUGUAGAUGGAAUACUUUUUUUUAUUCCUUCACUUUCAGUCCAUGUGUGUUCUUCAAACUAAUGUGAGUUUCUUAUGGGCAGCAUAUGCUGGAUCUUGUUUUGUAUCAAUUCAGCUAUUGUUUCUUUCCAAUAGAGGAUUUAAUCCAUUUGUAUUUAAAGUAAUUAUGGAGAUGUAAAGACUUACUGCGGCCAUUUUGCUAAUUGUUUUGUUACUGUUUUGAAGUUUCUUCUUUUUUUUUGUUCCUCUCUUGCUGUAUUCCUUUGUAAUUUGAUGAUUUUUUAAAAUAGAGGUAUGCUUUGAUUCUUUAUCUCUUUUGUGUAUCUACUACAAGUUUUAUUCUUUGUGAUUAUUAUGAGGUUUACAUGAAGUAUCUUAUAGUUAUAACAUUUAUUUUAAGCUGAUAAUAAUUUAAUGUUGAUUGUGUACAAAACACUGCAGUUUAACUUACUCCACACACAUUUUGUUAUUGAUGUCACAAUCUGCAUCUUUUUACAUUGUGCAUCUAUUAACACAUUAUCAUAGAUAUAGUUGUUUUUAAUACUUUGGUCUUUUUACUUUUAUGCUAGAGUUAAAAUUGACUUAUGCACCACCAUUACAGUGUUAGUGUGUUCUGAAUUUGACUAUAUUCUUUUCUUUAGAGUGACUUUUAUACUUUCAUAUGUUUUCCUAUGUUUAGUUAACAUUCCUUCAUUUUAACCUGAAUAACUUCCUUUAGCAUUUUCUGUAGCAUAAGUCUAGUGGUGAUGAAUUCCUAAGCUUUUGUUUGGGAAUACCUGAAUCUCUACUUCAUUUCUGAAAAACAAUGUUGACAUGUAUUGUAUUCUUUGUUGGCAGCAUUUUUUGCUUUCAGCACUUUGGCUAUAUUGUACUAAUAUGUCUCAGCCUAUCAAGUUUUGACUGAUAAAUCCAUUUAUUGUCCUAUGAGGGGUUCCCUUGUAAGUGAUAAUUCACUUUUCUUUUGCUGCUUUCAAAAUUCUUUAUAUUUUUUCUUUUGAGAAUUUGAUUAUUAUAUUUUGGAAAAGAUCUCUUUGUGCUAGAUCUAUUUGAAUCUAUUUGGAAAACCUGAAUAUUCAUUUUCCUUUCCAGAUUUGGAAAGUUUUCUAUCAUUGUUUCUUUAAAUAAGUUUUCUGCUUUUGUCUCUUUCUGCUCCUUCUUAAACUUUCAUAAUGCACAUAAUGCUUCUCUUGAUGGUGUUUCCUAAGUCCUAUAGGGUUUCUUCACUAUUUUCCUUAUGUUUUCUAUUUGAUCCUCUGACUACAUAAUUUUAAAUAUCUUGUGUUAAAACUCACUAAGUCUUUUUUUCUGCUUGAUUAAGUCUACUGUUGAAUCACUCUAUUGAAUUUUUUAGUUGGUCUUUGUAUUCUUCAGCUCCACAAUUUUCAUUUAAUUCUUUCUUAUGGUAUCUAUCUCAUUGGUAAGCUUCACAUUUUAUGUGAACAUAAACAAAUUUGGAUUUUAUUGUCUGUCUUCUCAUAUUGGUCAUUAUCUUCUUUAAGAUAAUCAUUUGAAAUUUUUUGGCAGGCAGUUCAUAGAUCUCCAUUUCUGUAGGGCUGGUUACUAGUGCUUUAUUUCAUUUAUUUAGUGGUGUCAUGUUUCCAUGAUUGUUCAUGUCCCUUCCCUUGUGGCCUUGUGUUGCACAUUUGCCUAAGUAGACACGUCUUCCAUUAUAUACAGAAUGGCCUUGGCAGGGAAAACCCUCAUUAGUCAGCCCUUCUAGAGGAACCAGGGCAGGCUUAUUGACGCAGAAUGCCUAGUGCCUGGGUCAGUGAGUGGGUAUGCCUAGUGCUUGUAUUUGAAAGGAUGAUCCUGGUACCUGAGUUCAUUGGAAUGAUACUGGAGCUUGGAUCCAUGUUGGUGGGCCUGGCACCUGGUUAUACAGAUGCAAGCCUGAAGCUUCAGUCCAUGGGUAUCGGCCUGGAUCCCAGGUCCUUGGGAGCCAGCCUAUAGACUAGGUCCAUGAAUAUGAACCUGGUAUCUGGUGCUGUAAGGGCUGGCCUGGAGUUUGAUCUGGCCUGGGAUGGGCCCAAAGCUUAGGUCUGAAGGGGCAAGCUGAAGUCUGGUGUCCCUAAGAUGGUCUGGCACUGAGUCAGGCUUAGAGCCUGGGACUGCAAAAACUGGCCUGGCAUUGGCAUCAGCCUGAGGCAUGGGUCCUCAGGGGUAGGCUGGAACCUGGUCAUACAGGCACCAGCCUGGAGCCUUGGGCCAUGGAGCAAGACUUGCACUUAAUUGGGACUGAAGCCUAGAGCUGUGGGGGUUGAACUGGUAGCUGCAGCAUGGGAAUCAGCUGGCUCCAGAAUUCACUGGGAUGGGCCUGGUACUUGGGCAAAGUCAGGCACUCACUUUACUUUCCUUCCCCCACAAAGAGGGCAUUUCUUUCUAAGUGGCACGGGCUUGGGGGUGGGGUGAUGCCAACAAUGCGAAACUAUCUUUCCUACCUUCUUCAGUGCAUCUUUUCUGGGGUCUUUUCUUAUUUCUGUGGUCCACUUGGAUGCUAUAAUAUCUCACUUGUAUUCUUUAACUCUCAUGAACUUAUUUUUGCUUGCGAUAGUUCAAAUUCGCUUCUGUGAGUGAAUGAGUGCUGGAAACUCCUAUUUCACCAUCUUUCUAACACUCUCCUCCACUCUACUGAAUAAACACACACACAAACAUAUAUAUAAAUUUAUGAAAAUUUAUUAAAAAUAAUGAUCAAAUUUUAGAGCAUCUGAUCGUAAGUCAGAUUUAAUUGUCAAGGCAAUCCUAGUGUCUCAAACCUCAUAUCAUGUGUAAGUUUUAAAACAUUUAGAUCGCCAUUCUCAAUUUCUGAAUAGAUGUGUAGUUUAUAGUUUCAAAUCAUUAAGGUAAAAACUUCAUAAAUGGAAGACGGACCCAUUUCUGUUUUAGAGUGCUCUAAAUAAAGUGUUCUAGCUGUCUAUAAUAUUUCUGUUCACCCUGUUAUCUAUAAGGUAUGAAUAUGCAAGUUAUAUCUGAGUAUCAGUAAUUGGGAGUGAAGAUUAAGUUUGACCCAGAAAAGUUUCAACUCAAAGGAAACAAAAUUACCAGUAAAAGCUAAAACAAAUGUUUCACUUUAUUCAUAACCAUUUUUUUGACACGUUGAUUAAACAGAGCCAGGAUUAGGGUGUGACAAACUUUGAGCUUGAGGCACAAAAUUUAAGGGCGUACUCAGUCUCAGCUGCUAACAAGUAAGACAAGAAAUAUUCUAUGCAGUAGAUGUCCAGGAUUUUUGCCUCGGGUAUAGGCAAUCAGUAUUUCAGUGAAGGAGCCGGACACUCCAUAGGUGAGCUUAGAGGACACAGCACAAUGAUGUAUUUUAGUGUUAUUUUCACAGAUGGUGGAGGUGGCUUCCAUGCUGAUUUUUUAAAUGGUGCAGUUAGCUGACGUGAGCACCUAGGAAUGUAUAGAAAAGUCAUUCCUUAUACAGCUUUGAAGUAUUUGUUUUUUGGUGAUUUUACAUUCUUCAAAGUUGCUUAUACAAAAUAUAAACAUUUUCAUAGUAUGCAUGUAUAGAAAUAUCUCAAAAAUUUAAUUAUACAACAGGACAAUUUGGAUAUUUUAAUAUAUAUUUUAAACAAACUGAGAGCAAGAGGGAAAUCAUUGUAUUUUGUCCUUCCAGAGAAAGAGGAGUCAGGCACCUAAGUCCAGUAUUUCCGUGAUAUUCCACUAUGAAGAGCCAUUCUUUUACAUAAACAUACAUGACCUGCUCUUUUCACUUUAGAUUCUACAUUUUGUGAGCUCAUGCCCAUAUGAUUAUAUUUUCUUCAAGGUAUCACCUGAUAAUUCAGAUAAUUGAAGGUUAAUAAUUAAUGACACCUUCCUCUUCAUUUACUUCUAAAUCAAUUUAAAAAAAACAAACAAACUAAAAAAAGAGCCUUAUGGAAAAA